GUGUCAGCCGCCGCGGUAACACGUAGGAGGCAAGCGUUAUCCGGAUUUACUGGGUGUAAAGCGCGUGCAGGCGGUUCGGUAAGUUGGAUGUGAAAGCUCCUGGCUCAACUGGGAGAGGUCGUUCAAAACUGCCGGACUUGAGGACAGUAGAGGGAGAUGGAAUUCCCGGUGUAGUGGUGAAAUGCGUAGAUAUCGGGAGGAACACCAGUGGCGAAAGCGGUCUCCUGGACUGUCUCUGACGCUCAGACGCGAAAGCUAGGGUAGCAAACGGGAUUAGAGACCCCGGUAGUCCUAGCUGUAAACGAUGUGAACUUGGCGUUGGUGGUGUAAAAACCAUCGGUGCCGAAGCUAACGCGAUAAGUUCACCACCUGGGGACUACGACCGCAAGGUUAAA
rnacentral:rRNA from 1 species